rnacentral:pre_miRNA from 1 species
GUGGGGGGUCGGAUCCUGGUCUGUGUCCCAGCGCCUAGUGCUCCCGGGCCUGCGCUGUUGGAUUCGCUUUCCUGGUUGGGCAGCCACUU